AGUCUGCAACUCGACUGCAUGAAGCUGGAAUCGCUAGUAAUCGCGAAUCAGAAUGUCGCGGUGAAUACGUUCCCGGGUCUUGUACACACCGCCCGUCACACCAUGGGAGCCGACAACGCCCGAAGUCAGUGACCUAACCGAGAGGGAGGAGCUGCCGAAGGCGGGGUUGGUAACUGGGGUGAAGUCGUAACAAGGUACC
rnacentral:rRNA from 1 species